UACGAAGGGGGCGAGCGUUUGUUCGGAUUUACUGGGCGUAAAGGGCGCGCAGGCGGCGCAUUUUGUCAGGCGUGAAAGCCCCGGGCUUAACCUGGGAACUGCGUUUGAUACGGAUGGGCUAGAGUUCGGGAGAGGAGAGUGGAAUUCCCAGUGUAGAGGUGAAAUUCGUAGAUAUUGGGAAGAACACCGGGUGGCGAAGGCGGGUCUCUGGGCCGAUACUGACGCUGAGGAGCGAAAGCGUGGGGAGCGAACAGG
rnacentral:rRNA from 1 species